GCGGGCGGAAGGGUAUCGAAUGUUGCGCGGCAUAAGGGCGACGUUACGCAUCUUGCAUCUUACAUUCGUUUUUCGAGGAGGCUCGAGGUACCUCGACAAGUAUCGACUAUCUUGGCUCGGGCUACUUUGCCGCUCCUCUCUAUUAGCGUAAUAAAAUGCAGCUUUAAUAAAUGUACGUGCGAUCAGAUUACCCAUUUCUUCUUGUCAUAAUUAUCUCAACACGAAGAUCUCGGUGUUCUCGGCGUAAAGUAGACCUCGAGAGUGAAAGAGUUACGUCUUGACCUUGCCACACCAAAAUUUUACGACGAUCCACGCCUCGAGGCCAGCGAGACGAUGUGCUCCGCAUAUCUAGCCUAUCAUCUCUCAAAUCUGCGAAACCUUGAGAAAUAUCUCGGCAGACGCAUCUAUUUAAAAUUGCAAACCGGUGGCCCCAGCGAUGGAAUCUGUCGAAAAAGGCAUAAAGCAACCGGAAUAUGUCGCACAAAAGCCCCUAAAGAAGGUCAACCGGACUCAAGGGUCAAGCGAAGUCAACCGAUGCGAUUUGGUUUAUGGCGCGAGCUUCUACCCCCUUCCCUCCCGUAUUAUUGUAUUUUCGACGAUGAUUUACGAUAGGAGAGAGAGCCGUGCAUUUGUAUUUCCUUCUAAUUUUUUUUCUUUUUCCCCUCCCCGUGCUCGGCAACGUGCCGCGCCCGACAGCAAUGCAGCGAUGCGUCGCGGGACGUCAUCAGCAAUACUCCGAAAUUUCCGGAGUUGACAGCCACUUUCGUCAGCGUCAUUCAAAAAGGCAGCUCUUUUUAUCGAAUAUAAAGCAAUAAACAAACCUAAAACUGUAUAAACAAUUGUGUUUUAAUUCUGUGUUUUAAUUUAUUGAAUAUAAAAGAGCAAUACGUCAAAACGCUUAAAAUAAUGAGUUUUAAUUUUUUUGCUUUCAAUUGUUAUAUUUCUGUUAUUUGAAUAUACAA
rnacentral:misc_RNA from 1 species